rnacentral:rRNA from 1 species
AUGGAUUGUAGUCUUCGUAUCAUUUUUUGGAACGCGCGUGGGCACAACUAUCCGGCGAAACGCAGCGCUGUCCGAUCUGUCGUCACUAGUGCUCGCCCCUCGUUGGUCUGCUUGCAAGAGACGAAGCUCGACGAUGACACCCCCUAUCUUGUUGCCGACUCCCUUGGGCAUGAAUUCUCUAGCUUCUUCCACCUCCCCGCUGACGGCACACGGGGGGCAUCAUUCUUGCGUGGCGCCCUUCUGAGAUCACUCUCUCCAACCCCUUUGUUGGGACCCACUUCGUCGCAGCCUGUGCCACCAUUCCAGGCACUGACUCUCACUGGUCGAUCACGGGCGUCUACGGCCCUUAGGACGAGGCAGACAAGGUUUCCUUCUUUGUCGAUCUUUGUGAAUUCUGUGCCUCACAAACUGGCCCAUGGAUCAUCGACGGAGACUUUAACAUGA